GUGUUCCCUGAGUCACGCAACAGCUAUAUAGUAGCUCCGCAGACCAACAGCAGGCCGACAGCGUAGCACCUGAGUUCUAGAUCUACCACUGUUCAUGCGGGACCUGGCAUAAAGCAUUCCCACGUCUCGGCCUCCAUUUCCCCAUCUGUGAAACGAGAGCACUGGUCAGCUCUUCACAUGCAGCGUUUGUGGGAUGAAUCCUUCCAUCUGUCCAUCCAUCCCGCCAACAUCCAUGCACAAACAUUUAGCACCUGCUGCAUGCUGUCAGGGACUAUGGCAGGAAAAGAGUUGAAACAGACACGUCCCAGGCCUCCAGCCCCUCACACCACGGAGAGGAAACAGAUGCCCGCAAAGGAGGAGGCACCCCUCAGGGGGCCAGCGCUGCGACACGGUGGAGGCAGGGAGGCCGUCUCUAAGCAGCCUGCGAGUCCCCGCGCUGCACCGUGGCUUUGAGGAGUGGCGGGGGCCGAGGGGCCGGUCUCUCUUCCGGGGGAGAUUCCUCCCCUCACCCCGGCAUUACUCAGCGCCCUGAACUGUCUGCCUCCCUCCAGCCGGCCCUCCUCGUCUUCCUGGAGCGCAGCACAAAGGUCCUGUUGUGGCCGCGGCCCGGGCCGCGGGCGAGCCUCUCUGGAUGGUGGUGACUCAGUCUCUUGCCAUUUCCUUUGUGCGGCUCCGGGGCUCCUCGCUGGGAGCGGAGUGUGUCUGCAGGGCUGGGGGCGGGAGCCGGGACCCACAGCCCGACAGCGAGCCUUUCAUGUGGGCAGGGGGCUUCCCGCACGCAAUGCGAACCUACGCCUGGAGCUUCCCAAAGACAGCGUCCGGCGCAGGAACGCGAGAUGCUGGCCGCCUCGCCUCUGGCCCCCGCGAGCAUCAAAGCGCGUGCCGUCGAGGGGGCACGUGUCCCCCAUCGGGCGCGCCUCUGCUCCUAGUCCCCUGAAUGAACACAUCCUUAUGAAAAGUGGAAAUUAGCCGCCGAAGGGAAGGGCCCGGAGAGCUUGGGAAGCGACCUAGGCUGCCAGCCUCCCGGCGGGUCUUUGGUCCCAGCUCUGAUGACCUGUCAGCAGCCGCAGGACCUGCGCUUAAAGGCGCCUCUCCAGGCCUGGCUCAGGGUGGGGCUCCUCGUGCUCAGCACCCUGGUCAAGGUUAGGGCUGGGUGUGCGCUGGAGGCUUGGAGUGCCAGGGCACCCAGUGAAGAGCGAAUGAAUGAACGAGUGAACACCGGACUGGGGGCCUGCAGACGGUUCUUCGCAGGUUAAUUAGAAGGCCUCUAGCAAGCUGCAGCGGAGGCAUUUCAGGCAUCCUUCAGAGAGGACCCUCGGCCUGGCUCCUAAGGGCCCCUGGUCUGGCUCUCACCCCCUGCUCUGGUGGCAUUUCUGCUCACUCAGCCUUUACCCUUUACACGCCAGCCGCUCUGAACAGUUUAUUCUUCUGGGAGCACAUCAUGUUCUUGCUCACAUCCAGGUUUUGCGUAAGCUGUUCCUGCUGCAAGGAAAACCCUUCCUGUGUCCUCCUCAGGUGAGAGCUCCCGCAGGCAGCUUCUCCCCGGAGUCUGGCGUAAGUGUUCCUCCUCUGCACGCCUCUGAGGACAUUUGCAAAGGCAACUCCUGUGCAUCUGUAGGUACCAUUGUGAGGUUACUGCCCUGGACUGGGGAGAGAUCCACACACGCAAGAGUGCAUCUGGCAUCAGUAUGUAAGAGUCAAAACUGACACACAGUUCUUCAUCUCAUGGAAAUGAAAACAUGCAUGGCCGGAAUGAUCUUAUACCUGCUUCUCUUGGGCCAGGUCACCAGGCUGGCCCUGAGAAGUAUGUGAUGGCAUGGAGAAGAAUCCUCACACAUCCUUGCAGUUCUCUAGGAUUUGCAAGGCAUUCCCCCCAUUGCUGGACUCACUGGAUUUGAGUAGGCCUGUCUGCCCCUAUUUUAGAGAUGAGCAUAUACACCUUACAAAAACUGAGUCUUGCUCAAUGUCUGGCAAAGAAGUCUUCCUUUAUCCAACAAUCCUGAGAGUCUAGCGGGUGUUGGGCACCAUAAAGAUGAAUGAGGUGCGGUUCUUGCCACCAGGCAGUGCCCGGGCUUGUCAGGGAGACCCAUGUGGAGCAUGACAAUUGCUACCUUCUUGAUACGGGCAAAAGGAUGUUGAGUCCAGUGGAAGGAGAGGCUUGUCUGGCUGUGAGAUCAGCAAAGUCUUCACAGAAAAGGAGAAUUUUAAAUGGGGCCUUGAAGGGGAAGUGUCUCCUGGAGAUGGAGAGAACAUAGCGAGGAGAGUGCGGUGAGGUGGGGGGUGGCAGGGGAAGCACAUCACUACGCGGUGCUUAGGGCCGAGUCUGAGCCAACCUGGGAGUGGCACUCAGCUCCCCCAGGCCCCCGAGAUGCAUGUUCAGCAGCAUCCAGCGGCCUCCUGUGAAGCGACUGGGAGUCCACAGAGACAACAAAAGCAGAUGUAGUGAUGUGUAAACUUGAAGUUUCUAGAAGUUCCUUUGGGCCCCACCAAAUCUCUGUGGCAAUGAACCAAUCCCACAUGUUCCUGUGGGUAAUGCUCCCAGAGGGCAUGUGACUUUGGGCAUCAUUAUUGGCUGAAAAAGGAAACUGGGGUAGUAGUUAGAGAGUGCUAUGAACUGAAUGUUGUGUGCCUCCCAAAUCUGUACACUGAACUCCAAAUCCCACUGUGGUGGUAUUAGGUGAGGGGGCCUUGGGAGGUCAUUAGGUCCUGAGGGUAAAUCCCUCAUGAAUGGGAUGAGUGCCCUCACACAUGAGACCCCAGAGAGCUCUCUGGCGGUCUUUCUACCAUGUAUGGCUGCAAUGAGAGGUCUGCAGCCUGCACCUGGAAGGAGGCCCUCAAUGAACCUGACCAGACUAGCAUCCUGUUCUCAGACUUCUGGCCUCCCAAACUGUGAGAAACAAGUUUCUGUUGUGUAUAAACCAUCCAAUCUAUGAUAGUUUGUUAUAGUAGCCAAACCGACUAGGACAGAGAGGAUGUAAGGAGCCAGUGGAGGACUCUUUUAAUGGAGAGACUACAGCAUGUCUCAGGCUGAAUGGUCCAGUAGGGAGAGCAAAAACAGUGCCCAUGCAUCACCCUGAGGUCUCACCCAACCCUGCUGGAACUGACUUUAGUGCCCUCUUCCAGUGUUCCCCGCAUGACCUGGUGGGUGCACACCUGGCUGCUUGCAUUCACACCGUCCCUCUCCACUUCUUCCUUCUCCCCAGCUCUCUUCCUGUCAACCCUGGCAUUGCCUUUGUUGGCUACUGAGAGAAGACCAGAAAUAUCCAUCUAGUCAGACUUGCCUGCUCCUGGGAAGAAAACAAAAAUGCAAAGAAAAGGUUCUCAGGGAGAUUGAGCCAACCUGGGAGUGGCCCUCAGCUCCUCCAGUCCCCAGAGACCCAUGCUCUGCAGCAUCCAAGGGGCUCCUGUGAAACUGUUGGGAGGCCAAUGACACUCUGUCCCACGUUGUGGAUCUAUUUUGUGGUCUCUGUAUCCUUCACUGCUUUUUGUGGACAUUAUUGUAUUAGAUUCCUUUGGAAAUGAUGAUCCAGCUAAUGGCCAGUUAGUAGGAAACAUCACGACCCUCCCCCCAAAUUCCAGCCUCUUGCUGAAAGGGUGGGGCCUGGGAAAUCAUAUGGUAUUGCUCCUGGUCACCACAGACCAGUGGUGGCUUUGGGCCAAAUUCUGGCCCAGCCAAUCCCCCCCACCUUUUUUUUUUUUUGAGAGAGAGAAUUUGAGGUAAGAGACACAGAGACUCAGGUUAGGAGGAUGCUUGAACUGAAAGGUCCUGAGACAGCAGGACAGGAGCUAGUACCAUGCAGAACACAGCAGGAGCCACAGGCAAGCCUGAACUGUGGGAGAGAGAAAACGAAGGGCCUUCCAGAGAGGUCCAGUCUGCCAAGAGGAGAAGAGAGUUGACACGCAGAAAGAGUUAGGGGUGACAAGAACCCCCGUAGCCCCUUGAAGGACACAGAGAGGAGAUCUUUUUUGUUCUUUUGUGAUUCAUCCUUUCUCACUUCCUGUCCUUGGAGGUCAACAACAGACCCCUGUAUCCUUUUAAUAAUCCCUCUUUUCAUUUGAAAUUGUUCCAGAGGGUACCUGAUCCUUGUUGCCAGCAUGCCCUGAAUAAGAAAAAUGCUCAAACCAAACACUGAGUCUACUGAGUCUAUGUGAAUUAAUUCUUGGAAUUCCUUGGCUCAAUUCAAUAAACAUUUCAUGCACAAUUUUUGUGUGCCAGGUGCUAGAGGCAUUCUGAGAAAAACUGAGACCCAGGAGCUGUCCUCAGAGAGUCCAGUAAGAUGUGGUCUGAUAAGACAUGUUUCCAUAUACCCAGAAUACAAGGUAGUUUGCUAGGAGCACUGCAAGAGAAACGCAGAUGGAAGGCUGGAGUGUGUACUGCCACUGUGGAAGCAGGAGGGGCUUGAGGGAAGAGGGCCUUCAAGAAUGGGUGGAAUCUAAUAUUGGAAAGGGGAGGAAGAGUGGAAAGUAUAAGAAUCAGAAGUCUGGUUGCAGGAUGGGGCAUGAUAUGGGUGGGACACUGUAAACUGCACAGCGUGGAAGGAAUAUGGAGUUUAGAGGAAUAAUGUUAGAUGAGUCUGUAAGACGGGCUUGACUGGGAUUAUGAAGGGCCUUAAAGGUCAAGCCAAAUUUGUUAUCAUAGAAUCAUAAGAAGGAGAAGAGCCUUAGCUGUUGUCUAGUCUAACUUAGGUAAUUUGGUUCCAGUUCCUCUUAAGGUGGCCACCAUGACAGACUGAAUCUCAAGUACUCAUCUGAGAUACAGUCAUUUCAAUGGUAGUGACUCAGAAUUUACUUUUCUUUUUUUUUACCCCAGCAAAAUAUUUAUUUUAGAAAAUAGGAUUAUAUUAUUUGUUGCUCUCCAACUUGCUUUUUUUGGACAUCUUGGACAUCUUUCUCUACCAGUACAUAUAGUUCCAUUUCCUUCUUUUUAUUUUAUUUACUUUAUUAUUUUUGUAGAGAUGAGGUCUUGCCAUGUUGCCUAGGCUGGUCUGGAACUCCUGGGCUCAAGAGAUCCACUCACCUUGGCCUCCCAAAGUGCUAGGAUUACAGGCGUGAGCCACUGCAGAUAUUUUUAUUUUUUAUUUUCAUUUAUUUCAAUAGUUUUUGGGGAGCACGUGGUUAUUUGAUUACAUGGAUAAGUUCUUUAGUGGUGAUUACCGAGAUUUUGGUGCACCCAUCACCCAAGCAGUGUACACUGUACCCAAUGAGUAGUCUUUUAUCCCUCGUCCUCCUUCCCCGCUCCCCUCACGUCCCCAAAGUACAUUGUAUCUUAUGCCUUUGCAUCCUCAUGAGAUUACUUUUCUAUCUUUAACAACUUAAGAGUUCUUUCCAGAAGAGUCCUCUUACUACGAGGAAGAGUGUUAGAGCACAGGGAACUGGGCCUAGAGAGUCUGCAGCAAAUUGUCUCAAAUAGCAGCUUAAAAAGGUAAGGAACAGAAAAGAAACACUCUCUAUCUAUGUGCUGGCCUCAGGCACAGUGCUUCUAGAUGGUAGAACAUCUGUGAAGUAGAAAUUACAAUCACUUUUCAGGUGAGAAAACAGGAGCUGUAGGGAGGAGUCGGACAGGUCCCCAGGCCCAGCAACUAUACCAGGUGAGGCAGGAAUGUGGCCUCGUGUUGACCAGAUUCCACAGCCACGGGCUUCCAUCCCUCUUCUCUGCUUGCUUUAAGACUAACCACCCUGGCUUCAA
rnacentral:lncRNA from 1 species